GCCCUGGUGGUCUAGCGGUAUGAUUCUUCCUUAGGGUUACUGAGAAAUCAAGACACCAUCCUGGAAGAGGCCCCAGGUUCGAAUCCUGGCCAGGGCC